rnacentral:rRNA from 1 species
AACGCGAACAACCUUACCAGCCCUUGACAUCCGUCGACCGUCGCAGAGAUGCGUUUUUCCCUUCGGGGCCGGCGAGACAGGUGCUGCAUGGCUGUCGUCAGCUCGUGUCGUGAGAUGUUGGGUUAAGUCCCGCAACGAGCGCAACCCUCGCCUUCAGUUGCCAGCAUUUAGUUGGGCACUCUGGAGGGACUGCCGGUGAUAAGCCGGAGGAAGGUGGGGAUGACGUCAAGUCCUCAUGGCCCUUACGGGCUGGGCUACACACGUGCUACAAUGGCGGUGACAAUGAGCAGCGACUUCGCGAGGAGGAGCUAAUCUCAAAAAGCCGUCUCAGUUCGGAUUGCACUCUGCAACUCGAGUGCAUGAAGUCGGAAUCGCUAGUAAUCGCGUAACAGCAUGACGCGGUGAAUACGUUCCCGGGUCUUGUACACACCGAAG